ACAUGGUUAUGUCCAGCUAAAAGUAAAUCAAACUCUUUGUAGCUAAGAGUGGUCACACGGUGGCCCCAUUUUAGCCCCUGAUUUGUAAAUCUGCUUCUAAAGGACUUGGGGGUAAAGUUUUCGCUUUCUGGAGACAAAUGCUACCCACUUAGGUUUCCUUCCCUUCUUUCUGCCUGGAAUGCCAAGGUGAUGACUGAAAGGGCUGCAGCUAUCCUGGAACCUUGGCGCAUGAAGAUGGAGGCCUGAAACGCAAGGAUCCAGUUUCCUGGAAGAGAAAGAGGGACACAGUUUCAGAAAGAGGAGAACAUGGCUUCCAAAAGAGGGACAAGGCUUCAGGAAGAUGACUGUGGUUAUAGAGGGAAGUAUGUGGUCUCAGAGAGGGACGUGGUAUCAGGAAGAGGGAUAUGGGCUCUGGGUGAGGGAUAGGAGCUCAGAGAGAAGGACAUGGACUCAGGGUGGGACAUGGCCUCAGGAGGGGACAUGGGCUCAGGGAGAGGAACGUGAUUUCUUGCAGUUACCAGGAGAGUUGCACGUUCCUAGCCCACCUCCUAGUGUGCCUUGGAAAGAGCCCUGGAAAAAAUCUUCAACCUCUUCUAGCUGCCAGCAAAUGUGGACUCUGACAUCUGCACUGUGUCCACACCUGCCUAGAGAUUUCCCAAAGAAGAGUUUCAGAUCAUUUCUUCCAAUCCAGGUCUUUUCAUUCAUUUCUGGAUUAUAACCCUGGGUCCACGGAAGCGGCUAUCGAUACUUCCCCACCACCUGCUUUGUUUCCUCGUGACUGAAUGUAACCAGGACAGGGUCCCAUGCUACACCGGGGCAUCUGGAUUGGGGCUGCCUUCUCUCUGGGAGCCUCCCUCCUACAGUGCUGAGCUGACUCAAAGUACUCAGAAAUCCCAGGCUAUAGAGGCUGGCCCAGCCUUUUAAAGUACUUACUGGUUGUUCAGAGGAUCUGGGUUCGGUUCCCAGCACCCUCAUAUUUGCUCCCAAUCUCUGGUGGUCAGUUCUGGAUGAUCCAAACCCCUUUUCUGAUCUCUGAGGGCUCCUGCAUGCAUGUGGUUCUCAUGAAUGGAUUCAGACACACUCACAUGCAGACAAAUAAAUAUGUACUUUAAAAAGUCAAAGGAAA